rnacentral:rRNA from 1 species
CCUACGGGAGGCAGCAGUGGGGAAUAUUGCACAAUGGGCGAAAGCCUGAUGCAGCGACGCCGCGUGAGGGAUGGAGGCCUUCGGGUUGUAAACCUCUUUCGCUCAUGGUCAAGCCGCAACUGUGGGUUGUGGUGAGGGUAGUGGGUAAAGAAGCGCCGGCUAACUACGUGCCAGCAGCCGCGGUAAUACGUAGGGCGCGAGCGUUGUCCGGAAUUAUUGGGCGUAAAGGGCUUGUAGGCGGUUGGUCGCGUCUGCCGUGAAAUUCUCUGGCUUAACUGGGGGCGUGCGGUGGGUACGGGCUGACUUGAGUGCGGUAGGGGAGACUGGAACUCCUGGUGUAGCGGUGGAAUGCGCAGAUAUCAGGAAGAACACCGGUGGCGAAGGCGGGUCUCUGGGCCGUUACUGACGCUGAGGAGCGAAAGCGUGGGGAGCGAACAGGAUUAGAUACCCCAGUAGUC